CGGCGGACGGGUGAGUAACACGUGGAUAACCUACCUAUAAGACUGGGAUAACUUCGGGAAACCGGAGCUAAUACCGGAUAAUAUAUUGAACCGCAUGGUUCAAUAGUGAAAGACGGUUUUGCUGUCACUUAUAGAUGGAUCCGCGCCGCAUUAGCUAGUUGGUAAGGUAACGGCUUACCAAGGCAACGAUGCGUAGCCGACCUGAGAGGGUGAUCGGCCACACUGGAACUGAGACACGGUACAG
rnacentral:rRNA from 1 species